AGGGCAGGACACUGGGGGGCUGGAAGGGUUGAGUAAAAGCUGCUGAGCUGGGUCUCAGCAUAUUGGAGUGCUGGACUGGCAGGUUACAAGGCCUCCCCUCGCUGCACACAGCUUCCUGGGAAGAGAAAGCACACUGGGAAGGAGUCACGGAUGUCGAAGGACACUCGGAUAGCCAUUCAGUGUUUAGAAGCAAGCAGAGGAUGCUGGAGAGCUGAAGGGACAGGUGGGAACAGACAGUGUCUUCAUGGUCACCUCCCAUCCUUGAGCUCCUAGUGUCCGGCUGGGCACUACAGGAUCCGCAAAUCCUUCUGAAGCCCAUGUCUGCAGUGACCAGAGGGCAAGCAGGACACGUCAGCCCCGUGUUUAAAACAGCCGAGGAUAUGGCGCUUGCCUGUCUUUCUGACCCUGGUUCCUGACCCCCGGAGCAUCACACUGGCUUGUGUGUUCCUCAGAAGCUUCAUUCCUGACUCCACGCCACAUGGGUCCUGUUUCUUCUCCCUGGAACACCGUGGCCCGGACCUCUGGCUGCCUGGCAACCUCUUGACAUUCAAUUCACAUGCCAUCAGUGCCACCCUCAACACUACCCCAUGUCUCCACUUCUUGUAAAGCUCAAUGUGGUCAGUUGUAUAUGAUCUUGUUGACCUAUCUGACUUGAUUCUCAUCUGUCUUUUCCUGGCCCCACUAUUAACACUCCAUGAGAGACAGGGGUAUUAUUUACUCUGUUGGAACAGUACCUACCACACAA